ACACACGCAUACAUACAUACACGCAUACAUACAUACAUAUACACAUACGGGCACACACACGCACACAUGCACAGCACAGACACUCAACAUGGUUACUGCUCUCAUUAUCACGAUACUUUUAUAUUUCACAGGUUCAGGCGUUUGUUCAGUCAUCCAGAAUCCUCAGGAUAUUAUAAAAAAUCAGCAUGAGUUUGCUGAGAUCAAAUGUGCACACACUGUAAAAGACUAUAACCGUAUACUGUGGUACAAACACGGUCAGGACACAGGAUUUCAAUUCAUGGGAUAUAUUUUCAUUGAGUCUCCAAAUCCAGAGGCAGAUUUUAAAUCAAAGGUCAAGUUCAGCGGUGAUGGGAGAAACAACGCUUCUUUGACCAUUAACAGUGUUUCAGUGAACGACAGUGCUGUGUAUUUCUGUGCAGCUUAUUACACAGUGCUGUAAAUCAGCUCACUUAAUUACAAAAACCUUUAUCUGAUCUACGUUACAGACAAACCACAACACCUGCAGCUGUGGCUGGAUUCGAAUUAAUGCCAGUAAACAACAAAUAGCUUUGAAGUCAAUAUUAUUAUUUGAAUUUCAUACAGUAAUCACACAGAGCAUUUAGAUCUCAUAAUAACAAAUGUAAAGUAAUAGAUUCUUACAUAAUGUAUACAGUAAU